GGGUAGAGUAAUGCGUGACCAACCUGCCCCAUGCUCCAGAAUAGCUCUCGGAAACGGGUGGUAAUGCUGGAUGCUCCAACUUGACGCAUGUCUUGUUGGGAAAGUGUUUAGUGGCAUGGGAUGGGGUCGCGUCCUAUCAGCUUGUAGGCGGGGUAAUGGCCCACCUAGGCUUCGACGGGUAGCCGGCCUGAGAGGGCGGACGGCCACAUUGGGACUGAGAUACGGCCCAGACUCCUACGGGAGGCAGCAGAA
rnacentral:rRNA from 1 species